CGCGUAGGCGGACUAUUAAGUCAGGGGUGAAAUCCCGGGGCUCAACCCCGGAACUGCCCUUGAUACUGGUAGUCUUGAGUUCGAGAGAGGUGAGUUGAACUCCGAGUGUAGAGGUGAAAUUCGUAGAUAUUCGGAAGAACACCAGUGGCGAAGGCGGCUCACUGGCUCGAUACUGACGCUGAGGUGCGAAAGUGUGGGGAGCAAACAGGAUUAGAUACCCUGGUAGUCC
rnacentral:rRNA from 1 species